rnacentral:rRNA from 1 species
UACGAAGGGGGCUAGCGUUGUUCGGAAUCACUGGGCGUAAAGGGCGCGUAGGCGGCUUUAUAAGUCGGGGGUGAAAGCCUGUGGCUCAACCACAGAAUUGCCUUCGAUACUGUAGAGCUUGAGACCGGAAGAGGUAAGUGGAACUGCGAGUGUAGAGGUGAAAUUCGUAGAUAUCCGGAAGAACACCAGUGGCGAAGGCGACUUACUGGACACAUAUUGACGCUGAGGUACGAAAGCGUGGGGAGCAAACAGG